rnacentral:rRNA from 1 species
AGAGUUUGAUCCUGGCUCAGGAUGAACGCUAGCUACAGGCUUAACACAUGCAAGUCGAGGGGAAACGAUAUUGGAAGCUUGCUUCCGAUAGGCGUCGACCGGCGCACGGGUGAGUAACGCGUAUCCAACCUGCCCACCACUUGGGGAUAACCUUGCGAAAGUAAGACUAAUACCCAAUGACGUCUCUAGAAGACAUCUGAAGGAGAUUAAAGAUUUAUCGGUGAUGGAUGGGGAUGCGUCUGAUUAGCUUGUUGGCGGGGUAACGGCCCACCAAGGCAACGAUCAGUAGGGGUUCUGAGAGGAAGGUCCCCCACAUUGGAACUGAGACACGGUCCAAACUCCUACGGGAGGCAGCAGUGAGGAAUAUUGGUCAAUGGGCGAGAGCCUGAACCAGCCAAGUAGCGUGCAGGAAGACGGCCCUAUGGGUUGUAAACUGCUUUUAUAAGGGAAUAAAGUGAGUCUCGUGAGACUUUUUGCAUGUACCUUAUGAAUAAGGACCGGCUAAUUCCGUGCCAGCAGCCGCGGUAAUACGGAAGGUCCGGGCGUUAUCCGGAUUUAUUGGGUUUAAAGGGAGCGUAGGCCGGAGAUUAAGCGUGUUGUGAAAUGUAGACGCUCAACGUCUGCACUGCAGCGCGAACUGGUUUCCUUGAGUACGCACAAAGUGGGCGGAAUUCGUGGUGUAGCGGUGAAAUGCUUAGAUAUCACGAAGAACUCCGAUUGCGAAGGCAGCUCACUGGAGCGCAACUGACGCUGAAGCUCGAAAGUGCGGGUAUCGAACAGGAUUAGAUACCCUGGUAGUCCGCACGGUAAACGAUGGAUGCCCGCUGUUGGUCUGAACAGGUCAGCGGCCAAGCGAAAGCAUUAAGCAUCCCACCUGGGGAGUACGCCGGCAACGGUGAAACUCAAAGGAAUUGACGGGGGCCCGCACAAGCGGAGGAACAUGUGGUUUAAUUCGAUGAUACGCGAGGAACCUUACCCGGGCUUGAAUUGCAGAGGAAGGAUUUGGAGACAAUGACGCCCUUCGGGGUCUCUGUGAAGGUGCUGCAUGGUUGUCGUCAGCUCGUGCCGUGAGGUGUCGGCUUAAGUGCCAUAACGAGCGCAACCCCUCUCCUUAGUUGCCAUCAGGUUAAGCUGGGCACUCUGGGGACACUGCCACCGUAAGGUGUGAGGAAGGUGGGGAUGACGUCAAAUCAGCACGGCCC